rnacentral:rRNA from 1 species
GACGAAGGGGGCUAGCGUUGUUCGGAAUUACUGGGCGUAAAGCGCGCGCAGGCGGUCUUCCAAGUCAGUGGUGAAAGCCCGGAGCUCAACUCCGGAACUGCCAUUGAAACUGUGAGACUUGAGUAUGAGAGAGGUGAGUGGAAUUCCCAGUGUAGAGGUGAAAUUCGUAGAUAUUGGGAAGAACACCGGUGGCGAAGGCGGCUCACUGGCUCAUUACUGACGCUCAGGCGCGAUAGCGUGGGGAUCAAACAGG